UCCGAAAUGGUGUAAUGGUAACAUAAAUCCCUCUCAUUGAAUGAAGAGUAGAUCUCGGAUUAGCCCGGGGUUCGAUUCCCCGUUUCGGAG